AGCUCCAAUAGCGUAUAUUAAUGUUGUUGCAGUUAAAAAGCUCGUAGUUGGAUUUCUGGUGUAAUGCGCCUGGCCCGCCUCGUUUAGAGUGUGAGUGCCGGUGCGCGUUUGCCAUCCUUCUAGAAAACGUUUGUACCCUUCACUGGGCCGCAUACGCAAUCUAGGACUUUUACUUUGAAAAAAUUAGAGUGUUUAAAGCAGGCUAUCGUUUUUGAAUAGAUUAGCAUGGAAUAAUAAUUUAGGACUUUGGUUCUAUUUUGUUGGUUUCUAGUACCGAAGUAAUGAUUGAUAGGGAUAGUUGGGGGUGCUCGUAUUUAAAGGCCAGAGGUGAAAUUCUCGGAUUCUUUAAAGACGAACUCAUGCGAAAGCAUUCACCAAGGAUGUCUUCUUUAAUCAAGAA
rnacentral:rRNA from 1 species